rnacentral:lncRNA from 1 species
CCCCACCUCUCCAGGAUACAGUCCUACAUCACCGGGUUACAGUCCCACUUCUCCAACAUAUAGCCCCAGCUCUCCUGGAUAUAGUCCUACUAGUCCUGCUUAUUCUCCAACAAGUCCAUCUUACUCUCCUACUUCUCCCAGUUACAGCCCCACAUCCCCGAGCUAUAGCCCUACAUCUCCCACUUACAGUCCUACUUCUCCUAGCUACAGCCCCACUUCCCCCAGUUACAGUCCUACUUCACCUAGUUACAGUCCCACAUCUCCAGUCUACAGUCCCACUUCUCCAGCCUAUAGCCCAACCUCUCCCGCGUACAGCCCAACUUCACCAUCAUACAGCCCCACAUCACCUUCCUACAGCCCCACAUCACCUUCAUAUAGUCCAACUUCUCCUUCAUACAGCCCCACGUCACCUGCUUAUAGCCCCACUUCUCCUGGCUACAGCCCAACUUCCCCGAGUUAUAGUCCCACCUCCCCAAGCUAUAGCCCUACAUCUCCAAGUUACAAUCCUCC